rnacentral:tRNA from 1 species
CUGUAGUUCAGCGGUAGAAUGCCUCCCUUGCACGGAGGAGGUCGUGGGUUCGAUUCCCACCGGGUCCA